rnacentral:rRNA from 1 species
UACGUAGGGGGGCAAGCGUUGUCCGGAUUUAUUGGGCGUAAAGAGCGUGUAGGCGGCUUUACAGGUCCGUUGUGAAAACUCGAGGCUCAACCUCGAGACGCCGGUGGAAACCGUAAAGCUAGAGUCCGGAAGAGGAGAGUGGAAUUCCUGGUGUAGCGGUGAAAUGCGCAGAUAUCAGGAGGAACACCCGUGGCGAAAGCGGCUCUCUGGGACGGUACUGACGCUGAGACGCGAAAAGCGUGGGGAGCAAACAGG